GUCAGAGAGAGCAGGUGAGAUCGCCACCAUUCCUCUGACAAAGAUGAUUAAUGAGCGUUACAGCUCAUACUCCUGGGUGGCAGAGCUGAUCCAGGUUUUUAUAGCCAUCAGCAUCACUGUGUCCUUCCUGGUGAUGGGAUCUGCCAUGAAGCACACCAUUGAUGGUCUUGUGACCGUGAUGUGGAGCGGCAGACUGGAGUGUUUGUG